UUCAUUAUCCUGAUUGAUUCCUCCUGCUCCCCGACACCGUGGGGGCCCCGGUCAGGGAAGGGGGGCCGAGGCGGCAUCUGCGGACCCCUUCCCCGGCCCUCGCCCCCAGCCGCUCUUCGGGCUGCCGGCCCCUCGGUGCCCCGCUGCGGCCCGCUGGACAGGUCAAGGAGGAAGGGCAGGGGCAGCCUUUGCCCCCCUUCGUGGGCGGGGAGGGCCCAAAGGAGGAGCGGAGCUGUGACGGGCCAGGUUCAGUGCUACCGCCCAAGGCGCCCGCCCUGGGCCAUGAACGCCGCCGGUCUUGGGACCUGCCCUUGGCAAAAAUUUUGCACCCUAACCCGAAAGAGUCUGGAGGGUUUGGAGUGGGGAGGGAGCACAGUGAUGGACUGAGAACUUCAGAAGAAGCCUUGGCAAAAUGGGAAAGGUGACAUCUUCCAGGAGCACUGAUCACGUGGGCCAAGCCCGGGUGACUGCAGGCCUCUCUAGGCGCCUUAAAUGUUCUCAGGGGGAAGCAGGGACAGGGUCUGCCCAAACAACACUGGACAGGCAAGGAUCUGAGCUCAAACGAAGCCCACGGGCCUCUGUGAGUUAGAGAACCUGUGCCCAAAUCUAGCAGAGGGUGGUCUGGCCACAAAAUGGUGGCUCCCUACUCCAGGUGCGGUGAGGCCUCAGUGGAAAGAGCAUCCGGGAGCCAGGCAGGAGGGCCUUUCUAGUCCUGCCACUUGGUUUGUUACCUGGGCAAGUAACUUUACCUUUUUUAGCCUUGGUUUAUUAAUCUGUAAAAUGGGGUUAAGACCUCCCUGACAGUUAUCAAUGGUUAAUGGGACUCUCUAGCAAGGAAGAGAAAGGGAGAUGAGGGGCUGGCUUCCAUCCCUGCUGCUGUGUUGGAUGAAUCCGUCCCUUCUCCUUGAAGGAGGGAAAGCCUCUUUCAGCAGCUCUCCGGACUCCCUCCCAAAACUCCAGCCCAUUCCCCAGAAACCACGUAGGCUCUGCUGGGAAUGGACAAGAGGCCUAGAAAAUGUCCCUUCAGAUUCAUGAUGUGGGUACAGAAGAGCACUGGACUGAGAGCCAGGGCCUCACGUCCUCAGCUGCCCUGCCUCACCCUGUGGCCCUGGAAGGCCUUCCUGUUAUCUAACUCCCAUUCUCCUAAUGGACUCACAAACAAUCCCAGUUGCCUGUUCCAAGGAAGAGGUCCUGCCCAUGCACCAUGCCUUGAGGAAAUAUCUUGUCACUUUCCUCAUGGGAACCUCUCCCAGCAUCAAUGCCACAGCCUGCCUUCUGGGACCUACAAAGACUUAUUGGGACAGAUCCAACUCACUUAGAAAUGAAGCCCAGAGAAGAAAUAAGUGGGAAGACAUGUGGAUAAAGACUUCAGAUUUGGAAUAGAGACACUCUAAGGACUUCCAUGGCCCUGAAGGAUGGAGGUCUGGAUGCUUCACCUCAAGGGGGUCCCCUCUCCCCACCUGAUUCUAUUGCUUCCCACCUCAUCCUUCAGCUUUUUUGUGUGUCUGUGUCUAACUUCCAUUCUUCCUGUUGAACUUGGGAGUGCAUGCUUCUUUCAUUUGGAGGGAGAAUUCUGUCUCAGCUCCCUUUAACUGCCUAAGUUCCUGAAAUUCUACCACUAAAUUCAUACUGUACUUGUGUUCAUUGAGAAUCCACUAUGGUUAGACACUG